rnacentral:lncRNA from 1 species
AUGUCCCCCGCGCUCGCUCGGGAGCGCAGCCGCGGCUCCCGUCCGGCCUCUCGCGGCGCAGAGCCGGGCUGGCCGGGCAGACGCAGGCGCCGGAGCCCGCAGCCCGCGGCUCCACCUCCUCGCGCUCGGCACCGCACCUCCGCCGCCGCCGCCGCCGCCGCCGGGCCGCACAAUGGGAGCGGGCGGGCCGUGACUCACCCCGCCCCGGCCGGCGCGGCCCCCACGCGCGAGCCCCGUAGCACCCCACCUGCCCGCGCGCCACUUCUCCAGGCGCCCCACGCAUGGCUGGGGGCGGGGGCGCGGCCCGAAAUUCCCACAAUACCCAGAUUCACUCCCCCACCUGCUUAUUUAGCCUCUUCUCCCUUUCCCUCCAGAGCCCUGGGAACCACCCCCUCGGCAGACACAAGCCCCUCCAGUCUUGGGAACGGAGCUCACGGACCCACUGGAAGCACCCACCAUCUCCCCUUUCAGCUCCAGUACAGCCUAUGCCCCUCAAAGCCCUGGCCUCUGUCACCGGGCACCACCCAACCAAGCUGCGGGGAAUAAGAGGUGCUGACACCCACCAGUCGUUUCGUACCAACUCAUCCUAUUAGAAUAAAUGUAUGCGUUCGGUAGGCCCGCUCUUGUCUCCUGACAUCCUGCCUGUGGUGCACCUGCAACUGUCAGUCCCCUACAGUGGGAUCUGCAUUUCUGUGACAAAAGAGCACUCCUUGCAUGCACAAAGGAUGGUCACUCUGGGUAUGUGUCAGCUUCUAUCUUAGAGCCUGGAGACACUGAAGUGACAGGAAAGGUGACAGCAAAGGCAGAAGCCAGCGACAGGUCAGAUCAGAGCAGUAGCCAACUGUCACAUCCUUCCCCACAGUCCAGUCUCACAUGAACGUCCCCAGCCUGCACACUGGCACCCCAGGACACUUGUCUGCACACGCAGCAGUACAGCAGCCUGUCCCCUAAGCCCAAGGGAGCAGGAGCCAUCCCACCACACCACCCAGAUUUUGGGACACAAGCACACCGUUCUCUGGGCUCCCCAUGAAUGGGCCAGAAGCCCUCGGGUGGCACCCCAGGACACUUGGGGGGGUUCCUCUCGUGCUGUUCCCUGGAAUCACUCUCUGGGGUCCAGCAUGCUGGGAACUAGGCCAGUAUGGAAGAUAUUUAUCAUCCGUGGCCACCCAAAUCUUUGAAAACCCACUUUUACAUUUUGGUCAUUUCUCGUAAGUCCUUUCUGGCCAAGGUAGAAGCCAGAAAACCCUUGCAGCCAGGACACAGAUACUGACCUCGGUUCCACCAGUCAGACUCACCUGUGCAAGACCUGAAUGGAGAAGGGAACAAACGUGCACAGGAGACUCAGACCUCUACAGGCAUGGAAGGGAGAGACGUCCUCAUGCUGUGGCUGCUCAGUAGCCCUCGCUCUCUAUUCCUUCCCAGAAUACUACCUAAUCGUUAUUUCUUUAAUAAACUCCUUGCCAGCUUAAAAUGGCUGUGGCUGGCAGCCUGACUGCUAGAAUCAGGGAAAUGGGCUCUCAGUACAGGUCAUGGGAUGAGCAGGCACCAGGCAUUAGUGGUGCCAACAUCAAGGAGCUGGCAGAGAGGACAUGAGGGAAUGGCCCUCCCGUUAACAGGCCUGGGUAGCCCCUGCAUCUCUUAUGAUUACUGUCAUUCCCCAUCAGCUCCAUCCUGUACUUUUAAGGAUAAUAACAAUGAUAACUUUAUUAUUUAAAAUACAGGUAGUGCUUUCCGGCUUACAAACCACUUUAAUAUUCACAUGCUCAUUGGUUCCUCACAGCAUCUCCGUGGAAGAGCAGCUUGACAAGUGAGAAAAUUUGACAAGUGAGACAAAUGAGGCUUGGGAAGUUUCAUUGGCUUGCCCAAGGUCCAGGGUUCAUAGGCAGCAUGGUCAAGAAGCAGAUGCCAGGGCUUCCGGCUUUAUGUCUAAUGUUUAUCCCUGUAUACCACCAUACCUCCCGACACUGGGUCUUUUUUUUUUCCUAAAGGAGUCUUGCUCUGUCACCGAGGCUGGAGUGCAAUGGCAUGAUCUCAGCUCACUGCAACCUCCACCUCCCAGGUUCAAGCGAUUCUCCUGCUUCAGCCUCCUGAGUAGCUGGGACUACAGAUGGGCACCAUAACUGGCUAAUUUUUGCAAUCUUAGUAGAGACGGGGUUUCGCCAUGUUGGCCAGGCUGGUCUCGAGCUCCUGACCUCAAGUGAUCCACCCGUCUCGACCUCUCAGAGCACUGCAAUUACAGGCAUGAGCCAUGGCACCUGGCCUCCCCCACCAUGUCUUGCCCUCCUACAGCUGUUGGACCUUCCAUGCCAUGGGCACAAACUGAAAUAUACCACUAACUUCCCAGAUCGACUUUUCAAGGAGACUGCAUCUUUGUGACUAGCAUCUACAAAGAGGAAUAGAUCUGUGAGACAUCUAGAGCCAAGCAGCCUGAGUUUAUAGCACAGCUUUGCCACUUGACAACUGUGUGACUUUGAUUAAGUUAUUUGACUUCUCUGGAACUCAGAUUGCCCAUCUGUAAAAUGGUAGUAAUAACAGGGUUGUUGAGAGGCUGAAAUGAGUUCAUCUGUGUAAAGCCAUGACUGGCCCAUAGUAAGUGCUCAACACCGUUAGCUAGUUUCAAUACCACUACAAAUCGAAGAGAUACAAGUACCAAAAAUUCCUCAAAUAACUUGCAAUGUGAAAAAUGGUGAAAUGUACACACAUAAAAUAAGCAAAAGCUUGCCCUUACCAGAGCAAUAAUUCUUAGAGCCAUAUUAAAGAUGACAAUUGCGGCCGGGCAUGGUGGCUCAUACCUGUAAUCCCAGCACUUUGGAGACGAAUGUGGGUAGAUCACGAGGUCAGGAGUUUGAAACCAGCCUGGCCAAGAUGGUGAAACCCCGUCUCUACUAAAAAUACAAAAAUUAUCUGAGCACAGUGGCAGUCACCUGUAAUCCCAGUUACUUGGGAGCCUGAGGCAGGAGAAUUGUUUAAACCUCAGUGAGCUGAGAUCAUGCCACCGCACUCUAGCCUGAGAGACAAGGUGAAACGCCAUCUUAAAAAAAAAAAAAAAAAAAAAAAAGAUGACAAUUGCAAACUCUAAGAAAGCAAGGAGAUCCAGAAUGACUUUUAUCCCCACCAGGGUAGAUCAUAACACUCUGGUCAUGGACCAAUCUUUGCCUUGGUAACCCUAACCUGGCAGGCUGGGGAGUUUCUGGAAUACAGCAGGGUAUGGGUUGAGCUAGCCCCAGUUUCACUUAGACCCUUGUCAAAAGUAUCUCCCCACUCCCCAGAGCAGAGCACCCAGUGCCAUUUGCUGCUGACUGGCCUGGUGGUGAGUAAGAUCUUAUUUUUACACAAGAGAUAACAUGGCAUUGAGAAAGAGCCCAGACUCUGGAGUUAGAGAUGCUAUAUAUAAAAUGCCAGUUCAAUGCUUGGCACAAAAUAGGUGCUCAAUAAAUGCCAUUCUUAUUAUUUACUAUUGUUAUUACUCUGUGGUGGUUUAUCCCAUCAUAAUCCAUGGGUUGCUCGGUAAAUUUUGAACUCAGCUUUGAAAUAAAUCCAGGACAGCACUACUGUCCCUGAAGUGUGUCUGACCCUUGCUGAAUCCACCUUUCAGCUCUUGUCUUUUACUGAUGUAUUGGAUGUAUUUGGCUAACAAAAAAUUUUGAGAUGUGGAUCUAUGUCCUUGCAUGCUCCUCUUCUGCCCUUACCCAAGCAGGUAGCCUGCUUUGAGUUUUGUUAUUUGGGGUGAAUGGGUAGGACACAAAGCAGAAAUCCCCUAUGAGCCUUUCUGCCUUUUGUUCUUUCAGAGUCAAUGCUUUAGGGAACCAAGGGAGGGUUGUGAAGGAAAAAAGAGGAAAAGGGCUAGCAAGAGAGAUAGUGUCUCAGCUGGAAGGUGGGGAGGAGUGGAGGAGCAGACCCUUCGACCUCCCCAGUCAGCAAAGCAGGAGGUUCCCCAAGGUGCAGAAAGGGAAGAGUGAAAUUUGUGAGUCCUGCUAACCCUAUGGAUGAGCGUUAGAAAUAAAAGGCUCUUUUGCAAAUGUUGUAAAGUAACAUUUCAUGAACCCAAUGUGUAAGCUCCAUGCCAGGUUGUGUAUAUAUUGGUGAAAAAAUCUGGGCUUGGUCCUUGUUCUUGGGCACCUUACAGAAAACAGACAAAUACAUAAUUUAUAAUUAAGAAACAUGGCAAAUGCAUGAAGGGAAGGGCCAGCUACACUGAACAUUCAGGAAGCAGGAUUAGGGACAUCCUCUGUAAGGAGGUGACAAAGAGGAAAACCCUGAAGGGAAUGGAAGAACUGGCCAUGCCAUGAAGGGUGAAUUGGAGAAGUGGGGGGAGGAGAACAUUCUAGGCAGAACGAAGAGCCUGGAAAGGUCCUAUGGCAGGAAUAGUCUGCCUGAAUAUGUAGAUGAUCUGGUUUGUGUUUUUCUGAAAGAAUAUGGUUUCCCUGGAAGUUGGUGCCACAAGAAGGUGAAUAGAAAAGGACUAAAGGGCCAGGCACGGUGGCUCAUGCCUGUAAUCCCAGCACUUUGGGAGGCUAAGGCAGGUGGAUCACCUGAGGUCAGAAGUUCAAGACCAGCCUGGCCAAUAUGGCAAAACCCCAUCUCUACUAAAACUACAAAAAUUAGCUGGGCAUGGUGGCGCACACCUGUAAUCCCAGCUACUUGGGAGGCUGAGGCAAGAGAAUUGCUUGAACCUGGGAGGUGGAGUUUGCAGUGAGUCAAAGUUAUGCCACUGCACCUCAGCUUGGGCAACAGAAUCAGACUCCCGUCAAAAAAAAAAAAAAAAAAUGAAAGGAAAGGGACUGAAGAGUGAAGCAGGGUGGGCAUUCUGGAAGGCCUGAGAAGCAAUACAGUUGAGAUGAAACAGCACAGAUUCUAGACAGAUGGGCUAAAUAUGAGAUCUAGUAUUCCCUUGGUGAGAUUCCCUAUAUUUAACCUGAGCCUCAGCUUCCUCACCUGUGAAAUGGAGAUCACAUUUUUCAUUCAGGGUGAUCAUACUGAGUGAAAUAAUGUGAACAAAAUUAUUGGAGCAGGUGCUCAGAAACAGUCACUAUUGCAAUAUUCUCCCACUGUAACCUUACCCAGCCUUCAUGACCAUCUCCAAGGCACCUUUCCCCUUCCCUCCCUGGACCAUAAACUCCUUGAAGGCAGGAGCGUGUCUGAUUCAUUCUUGGAUCCCUGCCCCCAUCUUCUCACACAGAAGCCUGGCAUAUUUUAAG